rnacentral:rRNA from 1 species
GAUGAACGCUGGCGGCGUGCCUAAUACAUGCAAGUCGAGCGAACGGACGAGAAGCUUGCUUCUCUGAUGUUAGCGGCGGACGGGUGAGUAACACGUGGAUAACCUACCUAUAAGACUGGGAUAACUUCGGGAAACCGUAGCUAAUACCGGAUAAUAUUUUGAACCGCAUGGUUCAAAAGUGAAAGACGGUCUUGCUGUCACUUAUAGAUGGAUCCGCGCUGCAUUAGCUAGUUGGUAAGGUAACGGCUUACCAAGGCAACGAUGCAUAGCCGACCUGAGAGGGUGAUCGGCCACACUGGAACUGAGACACGGUCCAGACUCCUACGGGAGGCAGCAGUAGGGAAUCUUCCGCAAUGGGCGAAAGCCUGACGGAGCAACGCCGCGUGAGUGAUGAAGGUCUUCGGAUCGUAAAACUCUGUUAUUAGGGAAGAACAUAUGUGUAAGUAACUGUGCACAUCUUGACGGGACCUAAUCAGAAAGCCACGGCUAACUACG